rnacentral:precursor_RNA from 1 species
AAGGUUUCAGAAGGGGUAGAAAUGCUUAUGAGCAGUUCAGAAGGGGUAGAAAUGAUUAUGGGCACAUGGGAAGAUGAUUGACAGAUUUGAAUUGCUCAUAAUCAUUUCUACCCCUUCUGAUGCAGAGCAUGUGUAUCACUAGCAGCAGCACACAGAAAACAACAAGACAUAGCAAGCCUAUCACAAUUUUACCCUUCGUAGAUAAGCCGCCAUUUUUCCAGGAUAGAGGGCAUUUUGGCAAAGGAGGCAUACCACAAAGACCUUUGUUACUAGAGAGGCUGUCAAUAGGUCUCUGUGGUAUGCCUCCUUCGCCAGAAUGUCCUCUAUCUUGGGAAAAUGGCGGCUUAUCUACGAAGGGUAAAAUUGCGAUAGGCUUGCUAUGUUUUGUUGUUUUCUGUAUGCUGCUACUGGUGAACACAUGCUCUACAUCAGAAGGGGUAGAAAUGAUUGAGCAGUUCAAAUCUGUCAAGGAGAAGAACAUGUGCUGAGAUAAUACUUUCUGCUUAUUCUUGUAAAAUGAUGUCUUUCUCAUAUAUUUAUACUGUUACAUUUAACCUGUAUUUCUUUUGGAGCAAUUGUGAGAGAUUUUUAUGGUUAAAGAAGCAGUUGUACAAGGGUUAUGCACAUGAUCUUUAUUUUACUUGUCAUGAGGAAUUAUCUUUUCACCGUCCCAUGUGUUUAGUAUUUCUUUUAUAUAUAUAUAUAUAUAUAUACUUAUUUCCAGCUACUGCAUAGCAAUUUACUCUUGAAGAGGUUUUGGUACUUGGGUAUGUUUGAUGGGUUCAGUGGACAUAAUUUUCAAAAUUGAGCUCUUUGAUUAGAGGUCAGAUUUCAUAAAAAAUGACAUAGCACAUUUGGGCCUGUAGGUUAAUGAUUUUCAGUCUUCCCCUAUUUUCAUAAAAUCCAAUGCCUAAAAGUAUUUUGGUUUAUUAAUUAUUACAUUUAUUUGGAGUUGUACAUUGAAAAUUUGAAAUUUCACUACAAAGAGGCUUUUGACCACCUGGCUUUACAAACAGAAAUUUUGUGAACUAUAUGAAGUAAAAGUUGAUAAGGGCUGUUAAUAUUUGAAGUCACUAUAGACGUUUUAAAUGUUAUAGGUAAUGCAGGUUACUGUAAAAGGUGGUUUAAAACAGAAACUUUUUCAGGUCAAUAAGUUUCAAACCCCCCUCCCCCCGGGUUUAAACAUUGUUUAUCACUGUAGGGACUUAGUUGGAUUUGGGAUCACUAAUGAAUAGGGUAAUGGGAUGUUAUACCCUAUUUGCUAGCCAUUGUAACUAUAUGAUGAUUAGAAUGUUUGAAUAUAAAGAUGCUUGUAGAAGAGAAGGAACUUUUAUAUGCUUAACACA